UACGAAGGGGACUAGCGUUGUUCGGAAUUACUGGGCGUAAAGCGCACGUAGGCGGAUUUGUAAGUCAGGCGUGAAAUCCCCGGGCUUAACCUGGGAAUGGCGCUUGAAACUACGGGACUGGAGUAUGGCAGAGGGAGGUGGAAUUCCACGUGUAGCGGUGAAAUGCGUAGAGAUGUGGAGGAACACCAGUGGCGAAGGCGACUUUCUGGUCUGUAACUGACGCUGAGGCGCGAAAGCGUGGGGAGCAAACAGG
rnacentral:rRNA from 1 species